GGCCUGGGAGGAGUUUCAUGGCCUGGUGAACAGCAGCGGCCGCUGAUCGGACGCUCCCCCUCUGUCUCUCACACUCAGGGGACAAUUCAAGCUUUCGAAAUACAAAAAUCACAUUGUGAAAGUACACAAGCUGGCAAUAAUCCUUUUCUGUGUGUGUGUGUUUGUCCGAAAUGGAUGGGAGGCCUCCAGCCGGUCCUUCCAUCUGCUCACUGAAGGGACAUCCCUGAGCCGUGUGCUCCCCUUUUGCACUCAUUCCUGGAGGACGGAUUCCGCUAGACACCCUCCAGCGUCGCUGACUUUAUAAAGCGGAAAAACAGCAAACGUGACUUUGUAAUAGACAAACAUUGUUUUUUAAUGGGGUUCUAUGGGGGGAGUUCAGCCUUUUGUUUUGCUGUGUGCUGUCCAGAUGCCUCCGGGGCAUCCCUUGUGCUCCUCUCAUGCUGUACGAAGGGCAUCGUGACCACAUACGUGUACAUGCCAGAGCUGGCAAUGAGAGAUAUCAGUAUUAUGAAUGUCUGUGCAUCCAGGAAAAGCUUUUGUUGGAGAGUCCCAGAGUAGCUGUAAAUGCUCUUUUCUAGCUCUGCCACUAAAUUAUUGGGACAUUUUGUUUCUUUCUCUCCCCUCUUCCCCAAGCAUACCACUUUGUGAAGCGGUGUUACUGAUGUGAGGACAGUCCUAGACUUUGUAUCAUCUCCCACCUUAUGCCCUCCAGUUUUCCCUCCUAUGAGAUUCUCUCCUUCUUAGGCACUGCUGCACUUAGGAUUAGAGUCCAGUGGGUCAUGCUGGUUUCAGUGAGGCAGCUUAGAGGGAAUGCCUUGGUAAGAAACUAGAGCAGAAUCCAGUUUGAAUAGGAACUAUUAUUAUUAACAUAGGCUCCAAGUACAGGAUUUGGAGCUGAGGGCAAUGACUAAGAUCAUUUUCCCUGAUGCACAGGGCUGAUACGUUAAGCCUUUUUCUGUAGGUUCUUGCAUGCCCCUCAUUGAGGAAGGGAAGUGAAGCUGGUUAUUGCCAGGCCUGUUAGUACUUAAUAUAUAAAUUCUAUGAUCCUGAAACUGAGACAGCUGAAGGAAGGGUAACCUUGCUGGAUGGCUUUAUUUGCAUGACUGUGCCUGUCUGCAGUGGUUGGAAAACCCUCCUUUCAGCCCUCAUUACUCAGUAUGUAUGUUAGCAAAUGUGUGCUGGUCCAUGAUGCCCAGACAGAAACCUUGAGGGCUACUGCAGGCAUGCUUUGAAAAUGACCCAGUCACUUAUUAGAGGGGCUGGGCAAUCUGACUCCAGAAGGACUGAAGUCAGGUCAAAAGAGCACCUAGGAUUCAAAUAAAUAAUGAAUCAGAGUUAUACAGCAACUUCCAAGUAGCACCGUCUUACUUGGCUCUUGUGAGCAAAGAUUGCAGUACCUUAAAUUAAGGCCUCUCCUUUAAACAUAUCCUUGAAGGCUAGGGGGUCCUUGGCAACCUGGCCUUGGAGAAAUCCUAUGAGAAUGACAAGCAUUUCCUUAUUGUAUUUGUAUUACUCUCUUCCUACUUUCCAACUCCUGAACACCCUCUAAUUACCACUGUUUCGGGAUGAUUUUUCCUGAAAGAACAGGGGAGUUCAGGGGCCAAAAGGGAGGUGCUUCAAUUACAGGUGAAGUUAGAUCAGGUAAGAUCUAGCAGGGAUUUAAACUCCAGGAACAUGAAGAAUGCAUUCUGGUGUCCAGACAGUUGUGAAGGGCUCAGGCAAAUAUAGGAGCAACAUCGGCUACAGUGGGGAGCAAAGGCCACCUUCUGAGAUUUGUCUAGACUCUAAGGAGGUCUUUACUUUUGCCUAAACUCAUAUUUGCCAUUAAAAUUUCCAAAGAGAGCAGACAUUUGGAUUUGCCCACCUUGGGGCAUCUACCUAACUGUUGCGUGUGCGUGGAAGAAGGUGCAGGUGUGUCCAACGUACUUAGGAGUGAGGGUCUGGUCAAGCCUAGUGGUUAUGUGUAUUGUCUGUCAUUUUGCCUUUUUUGUUGUUGUUCAGAUUUUUUGUUCGUAUGUUUUCUAGAGCUGCUCAUGUUUUCUCUUCCUCCUUGUCAUUGUAGUAUUUAACAGUUCUUUCCCCAUCAAAAUUAUGCUGACCCUCUGCCGGUUAGAACAGGGGGUUCUCCUUAUUAGGCAGCAUCUUACCCUCAGUGUUUUCCCAGAUACUCUGUCUACCAGUCAGUUUAUUCGCCCAUUUUCCUAAACUGGUUUGAGAAGGCUUUUAUUUUGACUCCAUGGGCCUCAUAUGCUGAGAUGUGAUAGUCAUGGUUAUGAUAUCACCUGUUAAAGACAAAGGGAAAAAAGGCCUGCCAAGGCCAAUGUGACCUGUAUGCUGGAUUGCCACUGGAGAACAGGAAAUCAGUCUCUACUUUGCACAGUUGGGGCUUCUCUCCCCAGACCCCUUUAUUUGGUUUCAUUUGAAAUUGGGCCCCCCUCCUCUCCAGUGCUCUUCUCUUUGUAUCCUUCUGUGUGUGUGUGCGUGUGUAUUUUCCCUGUGACACUGGCAGUGGCAAUAAUUUUCCACCCAGAGAGAAGCUUGUGGUCCACGAUGCUCCAAGAAUGAAUUUCCAAGUAUUUGCCAGUGGAGAAGGAGCAGAGGCUGUGACAAGAGUGACUAGUGUUGCACUUUCAGAGCAAUUGUCUACUGCAGUAAUAAACGGAAAAUAUCAGCAAGAA